GACGAACGCUGGCGGCGUGCUUAACACAUGCAAGUCGAACGGAAAGGCCCUGCUUUUGUGGGGUGCUCGAGUGGCGAACGGGUGAGUAACACGUGAGUAACCUGCCCUUGACUUUGGUAUAACUUCAGGAAACUGGGGCUAAUACCGGAUAGGAGCUCCUGCUGCAUGGUGGGGGUUGGAAAGUUUCGGCGGUUGGGGAUGGACUCGCGGCUUAUCAGCUUGUUGGUGGGGUAGUGGCUUACCAAGGCUUUGACGGGUAGCCGGCCUGAGAGGGUGACCGGCCACAGUGGGACUGAGAUACGGCACAGACUCCUACGGGAGGCAGCAGUGGGGAAUAUUGCACAAUGGGCGGAAGCCUGAUGCAGCAACGCCGCGUGCGGGAUGACGGCCUUCGGGUUGUAAACCGCUUUCGCCUGUGACGAAGCGUGAGUGACGGUAAUGGGUAAAGAAGCACCGGCUAACUACGUG
rnacentral:rRNA from 1 species